GAUGAACGCUGGCGGCGCGCCUAACACAUGCAAGUCGAACGAUUAAAGCACCUUCGGGUGUGUAUAAAGUGGCGAACGGCUGAGUAACACGUGGGCAACCUGCCCCUUUCAUUGGGAUAGCCACGGGAAACCGUGGAUAAUACCGAAUACUUCGAGACUUCCGCAUGGAAGACUCGAGAAAGCUCCGGCGGAGGGGGAUGGGCCCGCGGCCUGUUAGCUUGUUGGUGGGGUAACGGCCUACCAAGGCAAUGAUGGGUAGCUGGGUUGAGAGACGGACCAGCCAGAUUGGGACUGAGACACGGCCCAGACUCCUACGGGAGGCAGCAGUGGGGAAUCUUGCACAAUGGGCGAAAGCCUGAUGCAGCGACGCCGCGUGCGGGAUGAAGGCCUUCGGGUUGUAAACCGCUUUCAGCAGGGACGAGGCGAAAGUGACGGUACCUGCAGAAGAAGCCCCGGCUAACUACGUG
rnacentral:rRNA from 1 species